rnacentral:rRNA from 1 species
AAGGUUUCCGUAGGUGAACCUGCGGAAGGAUCAUUAGUGAAUAAACUUGUGUGGGUUGCUGCUGACCUCCUCGGAGGUAUGUGCACACCUGCCAUUGUUUCAUUCUCCCUUCCACCUGUGCACUAACUGUAGACUGAGCUUGCUGCACCUUCAGCCGCAUGCAUUUGUGGUUGGCGUGAGGACUGCUGACGCUGUUCUCGGGUGGCUUGGUCUAUGUAUUUAUCAACACCCCAUUGUAUGUGAUCGAAUGUCAUUCUGGGUUCUUUACCGGCCCAUAAAAUGUUAUACAACUUUCAACAACGGAUCUCUUGGCUCUCGCAUCGAUGAAGAACGCAGCGAAAUGCGAUAAGUAAUGUGAAUUGCAGAAUUCAGUGAAUCAUCGAAUCUUUGAACGCACCUUGCGCUCCUUGGCAUUCCGAGGAGCAUGCCUGUUUGAGUGUCAUUAAAUCCUCAACUUCAACCUCUUUCGUGGACGUUGAUGUUGGAUGUGGAGGCUGCUGGCUUGUCAAAGUCGGCUCUUCUCAAAUGCAUUAGCAGGACCGCGUCACUGCCGCUUGGUAUUGAUAGUUGUCUUACCAGGUUGGCAGAGUGGCAAUGUGUUCGGCUUCUAGCCGUCUCUUCAUGGGACAAUUUCUGACGAUUUGACCUCAAAUCAGGUAGGACUACCCGCUGAACUUAAGCAUA